UGCCGAGUGGUGUAAUGGCAGCACGGCUGGUUCUGGUCCAGCAAAUUGGGGUUCGAUUCCCUGCUCGGCAA
rnacentral:tRNA from 1 species